rnacentral:sRNA from 1 species
UUGACAGUCCUGGAGAUUGGAGCCCUUUAACCAUAUAGCACAGACAAUGACAGCACAAGUUUUCUUCUCCCCAUCCCGGGAGUGUGCCUCAUUUGCAAGGUAUAUUUCUAGAAUUGAGAGGGGAGUUCAGUCUCCACAGCCCAUUCAAUCAUUGUCUGUU